UACAGAGGUCUCAAGCGUUGUUCGGAAUUACUGGGCGUAAAGGGCGCGUAGGCGGCCCGCUAAGUCGAACGUGAAAUCCCCGGGCUCAACCCGGGAACUGCGUCCGAUACUGGUGGGCUCGAAUCCGGGAGAGGGAUGCGGAAUUCCAGGUGUAGCGGUGAAAUGCGUAGAUAUCUGGAGGAACACCGGUGGCGAAGGCGGCAUCCUGGACCGGUAUUGACGCUGAGGCGCGAAAGCGUGGGUAGCAAACAGG
rnacentral:rRNA from 1 species